AGAGUUUGAUCCUGGCUCAGGAUGAACGCUGGCGGCGUGCUUAACACAUGCAAGUCGAACGAAGCACCUUGAUUCGAUUCUUCGGAUGAAGAUCUUGGUGACUGAGUGGCGGACGGGUGAGUAACGCGUGGGUAACCUGCCUCAUACAGGGGGAUAACAGUUAGAAAUGACUGCUAAUACCGCAUAAGACCACAGCACCGCAUGGUGCAGGGGUAAAAACUCCGGUGGUAUGAGAUGGACCCGCGUCUGAUUAGGUAGUUGGUGGGGUAACGGCCUACCAAGCCGACGAUCAGUAGCCGACCUGAGAGGGUGACCGGCCACAUUGGGACUGAGACACGGCCCAAACUCCUACGGGAGGCAGCAGUGGGGAAUAUUGCACAAUGGGGGAAACCCUGAUGCAGCGACGCCGCGUGAGCGAUGAAGUAUUUCGGUAUGUAAAGCUCUAUCAGCAGGGAAGAAAAUGACGGUACCUGACUAAGAAGCACCGGCUAAAUACGUGCCAGCAGCCGCGGUAAUACGUAUGGUGCAAGCGUUAUCCGGAUUUACUGGGUGUAAAGGGAGCGUAGACGGAGUGGCAAGUCUGAUGUGAAAACCCGGGGCUCAACCCCGGGACUGCAUUGGAAGCUGUCAAUCUAGAGUACCGGAGAGGUAAGCGGAAUUCCUAGUGUAGCGGUGAAAUGCGUAGAUAUUAGGAGGAACACCAGUGGCGAAGGCGGCUUACUGGACGGUAACUGACGUUGAGGCUCGAAAGCGUGGGGAGCAAACAGGAUUAGAUACCCUGGUAGUCCACGCCGUAAACGAUGACUACUAGGUGUCGGGCAGCAAAGCUGUUCGGUGCCGCAGC
rnacentral:rRNA from 1 species